AGGGAAGGCGGGGGGCAGGCCUAACACAUGCAAGUCGAAUGGUAACAGGAAACAGCUUGCUGUUUCGCUGACGAGUGGCGGACGGGUGAGUAAUGUCUGGGAAACUGCCUGAUGGAGGGGGAUAACUACUGGAAACGGUAGCUAAUACCGCAUAACGUCGCAAGACCAAAGAGGGGGACCUUCGGGCCUCUUGCCAUCAGAUGUGCCCAGAUGGGAUUAGCUAGUAGGUGGGGUAACGGCUCACCUAGGCGACGAUCCCUAGCUGGUCUGAGAGGAUGACCAGCCACACUGGAACUGACACACGGUCCAGACUCCUACGGGAGGCAGCAGUGGGGAAUAUUGCACAAUGGGCGCAAGCCUGAUGCAGCCAUGCCGCGUGUAUGAAGAAGGCCUUCGGGUUGUAAAGUACUUUCAGCGGGGAGGAAGGGAGUAAAGUUAAUACCUUUGCUCAUUGACGUUACCCGCAGAAGAAGCACCGGCUAACUCCGUG
rnacentral:rRNA from 1 species